GACGAACGCUGGCGGCGUGCCUAAUACAUGCAAGUAGAGCGCACAGUUUAUACCGUUGCUUGUUACACCAUAGACUGUGAGUUGCGAACGGGUGAGUCACGCGUAGGUAACCUGCCUGGUCGCGGGGGAUAACUAUUGGAAACGAUACCUAAUACCGCAUAAUCUUGAUUAUUGCAUGAUAAUUGAUUGAAUGAUGCUAUUGCAUCACUACUUGAUCGACCUGCGUUGUAUUCGCUCGUAGGUGAGGUAACGGCUCACCUAGGCGACGAUACAUAGCCGACCUGGGAGGGUGAUCGGCCACACUGGGACUGAGACACGGCCCAGACUCCUACGGGAGGCAGCAGUAGGGAAUCUUCGGCAAUGGACGAAAGUCUGACCGAGCAACGCCGCGUGAGUGAAGAAGGUUUUCGGAUCGUAAAGCUCUGUUGUAAGAGAAGAACGGGUGGGAGAGGGGAAAGUUCACACUGUGACGGUAUCUUACCAGAAAGGGACGGCUAACUACGUG
rnacentral:rRNA from 1 species